rnacentral:rRNA from 1 species
UACGAAGGGGGCUAGCGUUGUUCGGAAUUACUGGGCGUAAAGCGCACGUAGGCGGCUUUGUAAGUUAGAGGUGAAAGCCCGGGGCUCAACCCCGGAAUAGCCUUUAAGACUGCAUCGCUUGAACGUCGGAGAGGUGAGUGGAAUUCCGAGUGUAGAGGUGAAAUUCGUAGAUAUUCGGAAGAACACCAGUGGCGAAGGCGGCUCACUGGACGACUGUUGACGCUGAGGUGCGAAAGCGUGGGGAGCAAACAGG